rnacentral:lncRNA from 10 species
CGGGGACUGGAGCAGGAGGGCUGCACCGGGACUCCGGGACAGGCCCAGUUGAAAACGGCGGGGCGAGGGGGUGGGGUGGAGACGCCCGCGACGCCAAGGCUGGGGUCCCGGAAAGCGCGGGGAGGAGGGUGGAAGGCAAAGGCAACUUCGGGGAAACUGGGAAAGGCGGCCGGGACCUCGGGGACACUGCGUACCACCCGGCGCACAGCCCCUCCCGCGCAAACCCGAGCCAAAGGGGCGGUCGAGCGGCGCACUCGGAGCGGAGCUCAGGGGAUGGUGCGCCCGGCACUUAUGCUGGGCUCAGCCCAGCCCAGCCCAGGACCGCUGGCGGUGCGAACCCAGCCGGGCGGGUGCAAGCGCGGGGCAGGGCCUCUGCGCCCGGCCCCCUCCCCUGAGUAGAAAAGCAGCCGCAGGCUGUGGCGCUCCACCACGCCGUCCGGGUGGGCCUAGCAGUCGCUCCAUUUAUCGCUUGAGAUCUCCAGCCUUACCGCGGCUCGAAAUGGACCCCAACUGCUCCUGCACCACUGGUGUCUCCUGCGCCUGCACCGGCUCCUGCACGUGCAAAGAGUGCAAAUGCACCUCCUGCAAGAAGAGCUGCUGCUCCUGCUGCCCCGUGGGCUGUGCCAAGUGUGCCCACGGCUGUGUCUGCAAAGGGACGUUGGAGAACUGCAGCUGCUGUGCCUGAUGUGGGAACAGCUCUUCUCCCAGAUGUUAAUAGAACAAGCUGCACAACCUGGAUUUUUUUUCAAUACGAUACUGAGCCAUUUGCUGCAUUUCUUUUUAUAUUAAAUAUGUGGGGUCUAGUGGGAGCUUUUGGGGCCAUGAGGACAGAUCCCUAAAGAAUGGCUUGGUGCCCUCCCAUGGUGAAGGAGACGUUGACUCACUAUGUGGACUAGGCAGGACAUGAAGUCCUGGGCUCAAGUGAUCCUCCCGCCUCAGCCUCCUAAGUAGCUGGGACUUCAG